GAUGAAGAACGUAGCGAAAUACGAUACGUAAUGUGAAUUGCAGAAUUCAGUGAAUCAUCGAGUCUUUGAACGCACAUUGCGCCCCCUGGUAUUCCGGGGGGCAUGCCUGUCCGAGCGUCAUUGCUGCCCUCAAGCACGGCUUGUGUGUUGGGCCUCCGUCCUCCUCCCGGGGGACGGGCCCGAAAGGCAGCGGCGGCACCGCGUCCGGUCCUCGAGCGUAUGGGGCUUCGUCACCCGCUCUUGUAGGCCCGGCCGGCGCUUGCCGACACAUCAAUCUUUUUUCCAGGUUGACCUCGGAUCAGGUAGGGAUACCCGCUGAACUUAAGCAUAUCAAUAAGCGGAGGA
rnacentral:misc_RNA from 1 species